rnacentral:rRNA from 1 species
CCAAUAGCGUAUAUUAAAGUUGUUGCAGUUAAAAAGCUCGUAGUUGAAUUUCGGGAUCAAAUUGUCGGUCGUGCCUCGGUACGCACUGGUAUUAUUGGUUCCUACCUUCUGAAGAACCGCGAUGUCAUUAAUUUGGUGUCGUGGGGAAUCAGGACUGUUACUUUGAAAAAAUUAGAGUGUUUAAAGCAGGCUUACGCUUGAAUACAUUAGCAUGGAAUAAUGAAAUAGGACGUUUGAUUCUAUUUUGUUGGUUUCUAGGAUUGACGUAAUGAUUAAUAGGGAUAGUUGGGGGCAUUAGUAUUCAAUUGUCAGAGGUGAAAUUCUUGGAUUUAUUGAAGACUAACUACUGCGAAAGCAUUUGCCAAGGAUGUUUUCAUUAAUCAAGAGCGAAAGUUAGGGGAUCGAAGACGAUCAGAUACCGUCGUAGUCUUAACCAUAAACUAUGCCGACUAGGGAUCGGAUGAUGUUAAUUUUUUAAUGACUCAUUCGGCGCCUUAC